rnacentral:rRNA from 1 species
AAUCAACGCUGGCGGCGUGCCUAACACAUGCAAGUCGCACGAGAAAGCGGGCUUCGGCCUGCGAGUAAAGUGGCGCACGGGUGAGUAACACGUGAAUCAUCUACCUCCGAGUGGGGAAUAACCUAGAGAAAUCUGGGCUAAUAUCGCAUAACACUUACGAGUCAAAGCAGCAAUGCGCUUGGAGAGGAGUUCGCGGCAGAUUAGUUAGUUGGCAGGGUAAUGGCCUACCAAGACGAUGAUCUGUAUCCGGCCUGAGAGGGCGCACGGACACACUGGAACUGAAACACGGUCCAGACUCCUAUGGGAGGCAGCAGUGGGGAAUUUUGCGCAAUGGGGGAAACCCUGACGCAGCAACGCCGCGUGGAGGAUGAAAUCCCUUGGGAUGUAAACUCCUUUCGAUCGGGACGAUUAUGACGGUACCGGAAGAAGAAGCCCCGGCUAACUUCGUGCCAGCAGCCGCCGUAACAC